GACCCAGUGGCGGAUGGUUCCGUGUCUGUAUAACUUGUUGGUGGAACGUGUCGAAAUACGCAGAAGUAGCUCGUUCGAAUCGGGUCUGGGUCA